rnacentral:lncRNA from 10 species
GCCCCCUCAGUGUCUGGGGCCCGCUGUCAGCUUUUCAACCUAAAGGAGAAAACAGGCAAAACGAAUAGAAAUAGUUUGUUGGGGCCAAGUUUGAGGACUGCAGCGUGGAAGGACAGACUCAGGUUGGUCUGAAUGCACGCGCUCUCAUUCGCAGCAGUUGCAAGUGCGUUUUUAAAGGAAAAAUGAAGACGCAGCUCCUAAAUUCACCAAGAAUUUGCAUUAAAAUGGCAUAAGCUAUUGAUUGGUGUACAUUAUUUGUCACAAAUUCCAGGAACAUGAAGAUGACGCUGAGGCGGCCAGGCGGACACUAUAGGAAAGAAAAGAAAGAACAAAAUGCCUUCCAGCAGUUGCCCCGGGCGUGAGUGGGGAGGCGGGACUGAGGCCCUGUACUCAGGUGUCUCUGGGCCAGAUAAUCUUUGAGAAUCCCACAUAGCUCCGGCUAUUUUUCUUUUCUCAUUUCUCGUGUUUGAUCAAAAAUUUUCUCUUCUCAAAGCAGUGAUGAUCGACAUUCUAGAUGUAAGUUUUUCUGCUGGGAAGGCUCAUUCCCGGGCCAUCUCACCCCGCAUGGGGGGAAAGAGGACAGGUGCGGUGGGCGCUUAAGAACUUCGUGAGGCCUCAAGGCCAAGGUUGAUUGGCACGGGGUCUGUCAGGCCGUCUGCUAUGAAGGAGCCACGCAUACCGGAUGGCUUCUGAGCAUCUAGCUAGCAUCCUCGGGGUUUUUUGGUUGACUUUGGACAUCUAGAAACACAAAGCCUAAUCAAUUUAAGAAUGAAAAAUAUGGGCCGGGCGUGGUGGCUCAUGCCUGUAAUCCCAGCACUUUGGGAGGCCGAGGCGUGUGGAUCACGUGAGGUCAGGAGUUUGAGACCAGUCUGGGCAACAUGGUGAAACUGCGCCUCUACUAAAAAUACAAAAAUUAGCCGGGUGUGGUGGCAGGCGCCUGUAAUCCCAGCUACUUGGGAGGCUGAAGCAGGAGAAUCACUUGAACUCGGGAGGCGGAGGUUGCAGUGAGCUGAGAUCGUGCCACUGUACUCCAGCCUGGCAACAGACUGAGAUUCUGCCUCAAAAACAAGAAAAGAAAAAGAAAAAAUGACACAAAUAAGGGCAACUAUUAACAAUUUGAAAUCUAGAACUGAAGAGUGCUUCUAUUUUUGAAGGUAACCAGAUACCUAUUUUGUCUCCUUCUGGUCCUGGCCUGAAGAACAAGAUGUUGAAGUUCUCCAGUGAUGGAAACGACCUCUCUGGCGAGGCUGCCUGGUGUGGUCCCAUCUAUUGUGGUUGGAGGAAGUCCUAUAUUUGAUGCUUUUCUCAUGAAAUCUCCAGGUUGGAGACCUUGAACUUUCAUGUCUUCAUCUCCUGAGAACUCGCCGUUAACAGAAUCCUUAAUUAAUUUAGAAUGUGCAGUGAGAAGCUCUAUAGGGUCUCGGCAAUAAUGAAGAAUAUCGCCUUUAAGGGGAGCUGGUUUGGAGGCUCCUUCAUCCAGGCACAGGGCCUUCCUGGUAUUAUUUCAAAGAGAGAAAGCUGAUGUUUUCCAAACAGGGCAGAACCCCAGUUCAGCACCACAGUGGAAACACCUUAGGCCAGGGAGUGUUAGAAGCUGGUUUCAGCAUUGCAGAUGGGUUUUCUAUUAUCCCACCUGUGCGUUCCACAGUCUGGAAGAUGGAGGAGGGCUGCAAGCACAAUGGGAAUGCCAAUCCCUCCAAUCCCAACCAGCUUUCACUAUGCAAGAGUCUCAACAUAGCCAGCUAAACAUCAGAAAGUUGCAUUCUGGCAGACCCCUUUAGUGAACAGGGCACAGAAAGCAUCUGCAGCGUUCAGGAGCUGCUGUUUAAAUAUGCGAAGAGCAGGCACAGCUGGAAGGCACAGCAUCCAGAUCUUUAAGUAUCCAGGAUCCCAUCUUUACACCAAAUCCCCAGUCCCCCAAGAGAAGAAACCCCAUGGGACCGGGCCACACGGUGUUUCCACAGUGUGCCACGCUACGAAGACAUUCUCCCAAGGCUGGUGGGUGACCCAACACCAAUCAGCCCACCCCGUGAUCAGCCCGUCACCCCAGGAGUCUUUUACCUUGGUGGCAAGACUUCCCAUAGCCUCCAGGGGCCCAAACUGCACCUUUCUUAUCUAAAUGCACAGAGAAACAAGUAGCCCCUGCCAUAAUAACCAUUCACUACAGCCGCUGCCAGCUACCUCCCAGUGACUUUGGGGAUGGGCUUUCGCCAGUGACUUGUCAGCCAUGGCACAUGAAGGUCAAGUUCUCUCUCAUAGUACAAAGUAAUCCCUGGAACGCGCAAAGCCAAAGAGAUCAGGUAACGCAAUGCAAAAGACAGCAGAGCUUUCGGCCUGAGAGGGGCCUGCCCAGGACUCUCGAGACUCCGUGAGAAAGGCAGAAGGCCCCCAAAACAGGGUGUGCGUGGCCGUUUUCUGUGUUCCUCAAGAGGUCUCAGGCUGCUAGAAGUCUCCUAUGUGGUACUGAAGAUGGUACAAGGCAGGAGAAGCACAAGCAGAGGAAAACGGAAGGCGUCACAGAGGAGCCGGUUCUCAAGAUUUUAGGCUUUCUAAAAGAUAAGUGGGAGUUACAGAAAUGUUCUCCUGUGAGGGGUGUCCUGUGAGGCCACCGCGCACCCAGGACAACAGUUCUGACAUCUCUGCCAAGUCUCUGGUUGCCCAGAGCACCUGCAUGGGUCGCAGACAGCAACCGACUCUUCUCUUUGGGGUGAGGCAACUCACCCUCAUGCACCUUCCCACAUAGGACAGACAGGAACUGGCCCCAAAUGAAAAGACAAGUCUGAACUACAGGCAACGGGGAGCAGUUGAAAUUGUUGUUGUUGUUAUUAUUAUUAUUAUUAUUAUUAUUAUUAUUAUUUUGAGACAGAGUCUCGCUGUGUUGCCCGGGCUAGAGUGCGAUGGCACCAUCUUGGCUCACUGCAACUUCUGCCUCCUGAGUUGAAGCGAUUCUCAUGUCUCAGCCUCCCGAGCAGCUGGAAUUACAGGUGCGUGCCACUGUGCCUAGCUAAUUUUUUUAUUUUGGGUAGAGAUGGGGUUUCGCCAUAUUGGCUAGGCUGGUCUUGAACUCCUGACCUCAGGUGAUUCAUCCACUUUGGCCUCUCAAAGUGCUGAGAUUACACGCAUGAGCCACCGCGCCCAGCCCAGCAGUUGCAAUUUUUAAAGCUUGCUGUGUAACUUUAGGCCCAAAGAUGUGAAACCACCAGUGCCAGACUGGUGCCCAUACCAGGCCCUAAACCCGUUGCCCUGAGGCAGUGGCAGAGAAGGCGGAGUUCUCUGUUUAUCUGAGUCCCCUGUCCAAAGACAGAGACUGAAGCCCUCUUUCUGUUAAAAGCAGGUUUAAAAAACACUCCAAAUAAAAUCUAGAUGUCAACCAAAAAGAAAACAAAGCUCUGAAUUCAGGAGGACUCACC